AAGCACUCAUCCGAAUCGGUUAUGCUCCUGAAAUCAGUCUAUUGCUUGUUUAACUAGUCUGAUUGUGACCUCUACCCUUCACCUGACAGGACAAAGUGGGAAUCACCAGAUGUAGCCCAGCAAUAAGUGUGUUCUGCAAAUUGUGCAGGCUGGGACUGGUCUGUUCAG
rnacentral:lncRNA from 1 species